CCUACGGGAGGCAGCAGUGAGGAAUAUUGGUCAAUGGGCUUACGCCUGAACCAGCCAAGUCGCGUGAGGGAAGACUGCCCUAUGGGUUGUAAACCUCUUUUGUCAGGGAGCAACGCCGGCUACGUGUAGCCGGACUGAGAGUACCUGAAGAAAAAGCAUCGGCUAACUCCGUGCCAGCAGCCGCGGUAUUACGGAGGAUGCGAGCGUUAUCCGGAUUUAUUGGGUUUAAAGGGUGCGUAGGCGGAAUGCCAAGUCAGCGGGAAAAUCGCGGGGCUCAACCUCGCUCCGCCGUUGAAACUGGCGUUCUUGAGUGGGCGAGAGGGAUGCGGAAUGCGUGGUGUAGCGGUGAAAUGCAUAGAUAUCACGCAGAACUCCGAUUGCGAAGGCAGCAUACCGGCGCCCAACUGACGCUGAAGCACGAAAGCGUGGGUAUCGAACAGGAUUAGAUACCCCAGUAGUC
rnacentral:rRNA from 1 species